GACGAACGCUGGCGGCAUGCCUAAUACAUGCAAGUCGAGUGAAUGACGAAGAAGCUUGCUUCCUCUGAUUUAGCGGCGGACGGGUGAGUAACACGUGGGCAACCUGCCCUGUAGAUUGGGAUAACUCCGGGAAACCGGGGCUAAUACCGAAUAAUCCAUUUCCUCACAUGGGGAGACGUUAAAAGACGGUUUCGGCUGUCACUGUAGGAUGGGCCCGCGGCGCAUUAGCUAGUUGGUGGGGUAAUGGCCUACCAAGGCAACGAUGCGUAGCCGACCUGAGAGGGUGAUCGGCCACACUGGGACUGAGACGCGGCCCAG
rnacentral:rRNA from 1 species